AUCAGAAUCCUACCGAGCUAUGUCUGUGUAUCGCCGUGGUAUAUUCAUGUACCCCUUUGUUAUGUCCCUGUGGUAUAUUCAUGUACCCCUUUGUUAUGUCCCUGUAUCCCCUGUGUUAUGUACCUGUAUCCCUGUGCUAUUUUCCUGUACCCCUUUGUUAUAUCCUUGUGCUAUGUUCCUGUACCCCUUUGUUAUGUUCAUGUACCACUGUGCUAUGUCCCUGUAUCCACUGUGCUAUGUUGCUGUAUCUCCUUUGUUAUGUCCCUGUAUGCCUGUGCUACAUCCCUGUAUCCCCUGUGCUAUGUUCCUGUACCCCUUUAUGUUCCUGUAUUCCUGUGCUAGGUCCCUGGACCCCUGUGCUAUGUUGCUGUAUCCCCUUUGUUAUGUCCGUUUCCCUGUGCUACAUCUCUG